CUUCACACUGCAGGAAACUGUGAUGAGGGAACUCCAAGUGACUGCCCAAUGGGUAGCCUUUUCUUGAAUCUUAAUAGUUCUUGGAAUAAGGGCUGGGAAAGACCGGUGCCAGCCGCCGCGGUAAUACCGGCAGCUCAAGUGGUCGUCGCUUUUAUUGGGCCUAAAACGUCCGUAGCCUGUUUGGUAAAUCUGUGGGUAAAUCAACGAGCUUAACUCGUUGAAUUCUGCAGAGACUGCCAGACUAGGGACCGGGAGAGGUAUGAGGUACUCUGGGGUAGGGGUAAACCGUAGUCAUCCUCAGAGGACCACCUGUUGCGAAGGCGUCAUACUGGAACGGAUCCGACGGUCAGGGACGAAGCCUAGGGGC
rnacentral:rRNA from 1 species